rnacentral:lncRNA from 1 species
AUGCCUCUCAAACAUAACUACUAUUUCCUUGCUGCAUUUUUGCUUCAACAAUUCCUGGCAAUAAUUAAGCCAACUGGGACCUGGUAGCAAACCAUCUAUGUGCUCACACACGGUAUGCAGUGCCUUUCGCUUGUUGCAGCCUGACAAUGCUCAAACUAGAGGUGCUUGAGCUUGUAUAAAUCGUUUUAUAUAGGCAUGCAUGCCUUGCAUCGUACAAACCAAUUAUUAUUGGUACUAUUCAUACAGUCAUACAUGAAUCUAGCUAAAGAGCGAACUACCACUGUGUGAAAAAAUGGCAUUAGGCCCUGUUUAGAUUGCUGAUAAAAAUUUUCUGGGUGUCACAUCGAAUGUGUCGGAAGAAUGUCGGGAGG